AACGCUAAUACCGCAUAAGACCACACUUCCACAUGGGAGAGGGGUCAAAGGAGCAAUCCGCUGAAAGAUGGGCUCGCGUCCGAUUAGAUAGUUGGGGGGGUAACGGCCCACCAAGUCGACGAUCGGUAGCCGGACUGAGAGGUUGAACGGCCACAUUGGGACUGAGACACGGCCCAGACUCCUACGGGAGGCAGCAGUGAGGGAUAUUGGUCAAUGGGGGAAACCCUGAACCAGCAACGCCGCGUGAGGGAAGACGGUUUUCGGAUUGUAAACCUCUGUCCUCUGUGAAGAUAAUGACGGUAGCAGAGGAGGAAGCUCCGGCUAACUACGUGCCAGCAGCCGCGGUAAUACGUAGGGAGCGAGCGUUGUCCGGAUUUACUGGGUGUAAAGGGUGCGUAGGCGGGUAAGCAAGUCAGAAGUGAAAUCCAUGGGCUUAACCCAUGAACUGCUUUUGAAACUGUUUAUCUUGAGUGAAGUAGAGGUAGGCGGAAUUCCCGGUGUAGCGGUGAAAUGCGUAGAGAUCGGGAGGAACACCAGUGGCGAAGGCGGCCUACUGGGCUUUAACUGACGCUGAAGCACGAAAGCGUGGGUAGCAAACAGGAUUAGAUACCCUGGUAGUCCAUGCCGUAAACGA
rnacentral:rRNA from 1 species